UCCUUUAUGUAGCCAUACUGUAACGUUCUCUGAACGAUGAUUGGUUAAUGUGUAUUAUUCGAUUUUUAUUAACCAAUCAGCAACGAGAAUAAUAUUAUCGCUUUAUUUCGUAAAAAAGAUUAGUUAAAAUACAUACUAUUCGUCUAUAAACAUUAAUAAAAGCUGGAAAAGUGAUUUAAGCAUUUUGGUUGAACAUUUGCACUAAAAUAUAUUUAGCAAAAUUAUUAAAUGAUUCAAGGAUUAACUCAGCCAUAUUAACUAUUGUGCCACUUUUUUGAAGAAGUAAACUUUAUGUUUCAAAAAAUAGAGUAUAUGUGAUGUUCUUGAAGCUAUAUUUAGACAAGAAGCGGGACAUUUAAGAAGAAAACGUGGUAGAAUCAAUAAUGGUUUUAUUAAAUUAAAAAAGUAUAAAGCUUAUACAUUUAUAACAAGUGAGAACACAUACAUAAUAAAAGAUAUUUAUUUUAAUAUACUGGACAUUUGUAUGGUGUGCCAUCCUUACAACAAUAUUCUCUUCCAGCAGAAAGAUUUGUGUUAAUCCAUCCACUGUUACAAUUUUUAAUAAAUAAGUAAGCCUAAUAUAAAGAAAUUAUAUAAUAUAAUGUUGUUUAAUAGUUAAUUUGAAGCUAUUGUGAAACAUUAAAAUAAAACUUACCCUUUCCUUAUGACAGUCAUAUUUUAUUGAAUUACAUAGUAUUUUAGGACUGUUUGGCAGAUGUUUAAUAAUCUAUAGUAAAUAUUUCAUAUUUUGUGUUACUUGAGAUAAGAAAUUAACUGUAUCAUCAAUAAAAUAUAUGUGUGGUAAUAAUUUUGUAUUUCUAUAGAUUAACUCACAGUGUCCAAGCAUUUAUUUGUACACAGUUUAUUCCCGGUUGGAGUACAUGAAAAUGCUCCAGGUAAAUCAUGAAAAAUAGCAGGCUCUCCCUUAGGUGAUUCUUUACCAUCCUUUUUAAAUU